rnacentral:rRNA from 1 species
UGCAGUCGAGCGGUAGCACAGAGAGCUUGCUCUCGGGUGACGAGCGGCGGACGGGUGAGUAAUGUCUGGGAAACUGCCUGAUGGAGGGGGAUAACUACUGGAAACGGUAGCUAAUACCGCAUAACGUCGCAAGACCAAAGUGGGGGACCUUCGGGCCUCAUGCCAUCAGAUGUGCCCAGAUGGGAUUAGCUAGUAGGUGGGGUAAUGGCUCACCUAGGCGACGAUCCCUAGCUGGUCUGAGAGGAUGACCAGCCACACUGGAACUGAGACACGGUCCAGACUCCUACGGGAGGCAGCAGUGGGGAAUAUUGCACAAUGGGCGCAAGCCUGAUGCAGCCAUGCCGCGUGUAUGAAGAAGGCCUUCGGGUUGUAAAGUACUUUCAGCGAGGAGGAAGGCGUUAAGGUUAAUAACCUUGGCGAUUGACGUUACUCGCAGAAGAAGCACCGGCUAACUCCGUGCCAGCAGCCGCGGUAAUACGGAGGGUGCAAGCGUUAAUCGGAAUUACUGGGCGUAAAGCGCACGCAGGCGGUCUGUCAAGUCGGAUGUGAAAUCCCCGGGCUCAACCUGGGAACUGCAUUCGAAACUGGCAGGCUAGAGUCUUGUAGAGGGGGGGUAGAAUUCCAGGUGUAGCGGUUGAAAUGCGUUAGAGAUCUGGGAGG